AUUCUGGUUGAUCCUGCCAGAGGUUACUGCUAUCGAGGUUCGACUAAGCCAUGCGAGUCGAAUGUAGCAAUACAUGGCGUACUGCUCAGUAACACGUGGACAACCUACCCUCCGGACGGGUAUAA
rnacentral:rRNA from 1 species